rnacentral:rRNA from 1 species
UUCGGUUGUUGUUUAGUGGCGGAAGGGUUAGUAAUACAUAGAUAAUCUGUCCUCAACUUGGGAAUAACGGUUGGAAACGACCGCUAAUACCGAAUGUGGUAUGUUUAGGCAUCUAAAACAUAUUAAAGAAGGGGAUCUUCGGACCUUUCGGUUGAGGGAGAGUCUAUGGGAUAUCAGCUUGUUGGUGGGGUAAUGGCCUACCAAGGCUUUGACGUCUAGGCGGAUUGAGAGAUUGACCGCCAACACUGGGACUGAGACACUGCCCAGACUUCUACGGAAGGCUGCAGUCGAGAAUCUUUCGCAAUGGACGAAAGUCUGACGAAGCGACGCCGCGUGUGUGAUGAAGGCUCUAGGGUUGUAAAGCACUUUCGCUUGGGAAUAAGAGAGAUUGGCUAAUAUCCAAUCGAUUUGAGCGUACCAGGUAAAGAAGCACCGGCUAACUCCGUGCCAGCAGCUGCGGUAAUACGGAGGGUGCUAGCGUUAAUCGGAUUUAUUGGGCGUAAAGGGCGUGUAGGCGGAAAGGAAAGUUAGAUGUUAAAUCUUGGGGCUCAACCUCAAGCCAGCAUCUAAUACUAUCUUUCUAGAGGGUAGGUGGAGAAAAGGGAAUUCCACGUGUAGCGGUGAAAUGCGUAGAUAUGUGGAAGAACACCAGUGGCGAAGGCGCUUUUCUAAUUUACACCUGACGCUAAGGCGCGAAAGCAAGGGGAGCAAACAGGAUUAGAUACCCUGGUAGUCCUUGCCGUAAACGAUGCAUACUUGAUGUGGAUAGUCUCAACCCUAUCCGUGUCGUAGCUAACGCGUUAAGUAUGCCGCCUGAGGAGUACACUCGCAAGGGUGAAACUCAAAAGAAUUGACGGGGGCCCGCACAAGCAGUGGAGCAUGUGGUUUAAUUCGAUGCAACGCGAAGAACCUUACCUGGGCUUGACAUGUAUUUGACCGCGGCAGAAAUGUCGUUUUCCGCAAGGACAGAUACACAGGUGCUGCAUGGCUGUCGUCAGCUCGUGCCGUGAGGUGUUGGGUUAAGUCCCGCAACGAGCGCAACCCUUAUCGUUAGUUGCCAACACUUAGGGUGGGAACUCUAACGAGACUGCCUGGGUUAACCAGGAGGAAGGCGAGGAUGACGUCAAGUCAGCAUGGCCCUUAUGCCCAGGGCUACACACGUGCUACAAUGGCCAGUACAGAAGGUAGCAAUAUCGUGAGAUGGAGCAAAUCCUCAAAGCUGGCCCCAGUUCGGAUUGUAGUCUGCAACUCGACUACAUGAAGUCGGAAUUGCUAGUAAUGGCGUGUCAGCUAUAACGCCGUGAAUACGUUCCCGGGCCUUGUACACACCGCCCGUCACAUCAUGGGAGUUGGUUUUGCCUUAAGUCGUUGACUCAACCUGUAAAGGAGAGAGGC